rnacentral:rRNA from 1 species
AUUGAACGCUGGCGGCAGGCCUAACACAUGCAAGUCGAGCGAGCGGCGGACGGGUGAGUAAUGUAUGGGGACUGCCCGCUAGCGGGGGAUAACUACUUGAAACGGUGGCUAAUACCGCCUACUGUCGGAUAACCCAUAUGGGAUUAGCUAGUAGGUAAGGUAAUGGCUUACCUAGGCGACGAUCCCUAGCUGGUCUGAGAGGAUGAUCAGCCACACGGGGACUGAGACACGGCCCAGACUCCGACGGAGGCAGCAGUGGGGAAUAUUGCGCAAGGGGCACAAGCCUGAUGCAGCGAUGCGGCGUGUAUGUAGAAGGGCCUAGGGUUGUAAAGUACUUUCAGUCUGGAGGCGGUACCGACAGAAGAAGCACCGGCUAACUCCGUGCCAGCAGCCGCGGUAAUAC